GGGUUUCUUAUGACUACAGAGUGAGGAGUGCCACCCUGGUGAUGUCUUCUAAGUUUCCCUUCUCAGCACCAUCUGAGGGUUAAGCUCUUGAAGAAGGUGUUACACAGAUCCUUAGUCAAGUGUUUCUUUAGAAAUAUGUGAUAGAGAUCAUCAAGAAUUCCAUUUAAGAGUUUCUAGGUGAAACCAUCUCCUCCAGUUUCAGACACUUAUGGGUCAUUGUCAUCAUCACCACAUUUGCACUGAAGAGCCGUCAACACUCUAUUUUCAAGCACAUGAGCUUUUAAGAAGCCUGUGUCCCCAGAUAAAUCUGAAAGAGAACUUGGUAACUAUGAUAUCGAUUGGGAUAUGAUGAGUUCACAGUAUUUCAACUUCUUCCACAGUUAUUUCACAAAAACAGGUGCGCAGUGUUAGGAUUGGUGGCGCUCUUCCGACAAAGUCACGUGGGAAAGGGAUACUGUCAAUGCCACUCUGCAGAGGUAGCAGGAAGCACUGCUUGCCACCAGCCACAGGAGCUCUCUCACUCUUAGAAAUGUUGUGGAGCUGCACAGAGGAAGAAUAUCAGUGUCAACAGAUGUGGUGAUCUACCAGUAGGACUCUUGGAACCCGUAACAAUGCAUAUGGAUCUCUUGGGUGGCCUUUUCUCCUGUCUCUGUGAAGCCAUUUCACAUCCUAGGCAAAAUUACAGACAAUGUUAACUGUUAUUUUCUAACUAAAAUUAUGUGGGUUGUUGGACAUUGAAUUUCGAUUGUAGUUUACCCACACUUCACUUUGGCCCCCGCACUGUACCUACUGUGAUAUUUUCUUUCUCAUGUUGAGUCCAGCCUGCAUUGCCUCCUUCAUAGUAAAAUCAGAGUUAAGGGGAGAAAUUAGUGAAUGUGCAACUGGGUCACAGCUUUAAACCUCAAGAAUUCAUACAAAUAAAUCACGCUGUUCUUCUAAGUUAAACUUUGUCUAAGUCUGUUGAUCCUCCAAAAUAACUUUCUAGACAAAAAAAAAUCCACUUUUGUCCUUAGGAAAAUUUUCUAAGCAGGUUCAUUGGUACUGCAGUGCUUACUGACACUGCAAAGGCAGUAGGUGCCAAGGUAUAUUUUAUAUAUCUAGCAUGAAUAUACCAAUCUAUUGAAUAGUUCCUAUUUCAGUUUGUAGUAGUCAUUGGGUAAAUAUUAGGUCAAUGUCUUACUAGUGUGUGUUUAAUUUAGUAUAUGAAUAUACUAUAUAUAUAUACUAUAGUAUAUGAAUAUAUAUAGUAUAUGAAUAUACUAUAUGUGAAUAUACUAUAUAUAUAAUUUAGUAUAUGAAUACAGUUUCUGAUGCAAGAGAAAGGUGAUUCUAAGUUCCAUCUGUGAUUUCCUUCCUUGCUUAUUCUUAUGUUUAUACGUCAUGGACAACUUCAAGUACAACUAUCUUUUCUACAACACCUUUGAUCUAAAAGCAUUAAUAUUAUUAUAACUUCAGAGUCCCUUGAUGAAAAUCAUUAUAGGAAAAGAGAUUCACCAGUAUUUUCUUUGAGCUCUGCAGAACAAAUAGUUCCAACAUAAGACUCCUGUUCCCAGACUGGAAUUGUGGUUCCAUAUGCACCCAGUUCAUCCAUUUUUGAUGGUAUGGAGAGUCAGUUCAGUAAAACAAUCUGAAAGCUCCAUAUUAUAUAAUGGUCCAAACAAUUUAACAAAAUUUCCGGAGAAUUUGAAACAACUAAGGUGUUAAUUCCAGAUAAAUAGCUAAU
rnacentral:lncRNA from 1 species